rnacentral:rRNA from 1 species
UACGAAGGGGGCUAGCGUUGUUCGGAAUCACUGGGCGUAAAGAGCUCGUAGGUGGUUCGGUAAGUCGGAUGUGAAAUCUCCAGGCUCAACCUGGAGGGGUCAUUCGAUACUGCCGUGACUAGAGUUCGGUAGGGGAGUGUGGAAUUCCUGGUGGAGCGGUGAAAUGCGCAGAUAUCAGGAGGAACACCCGUAGCGAAGGCGGCACUCUGGGCCGAUACUGACACUGAGGAGCGAAAGCGUGGGGAGCGAAUGGG